rnacentral:lncRNA from 1 species
CCCCACGUUGAAUCGGACCCUUUUCCUCCAGUGGGACCUGAGAGCAGGGACAAAACGGGACGUCGCGUCUCCAUCCUGAAGACCCAGGGGGUCUUGGUCUCUGCACGCCCGUCCCGUGGAGGAAGAGUGAGAAGGGGCAGCAUGUGCAGCGCAAGCUGCCAUCCGCGUGGGAUGCGCCAGGACUAGAACUGGCUCUGCCGACUCUGGGGGGCUUCUCUGGGAGAGGCCCGGCCUUGGCUGCUGGACCCUGGUCCCUCCUCCUGGACGGCAGUCCCCAUCCCAGUUCCAGGGAUGUGCAGCAUUCCCUGCCAAGCAGGGGUGAGAACUGCUUCUGUGUGAAGCACCAGCCUCGGGUCCUCUCCUCUCUCUUGGUCCUCACAGUAGUUGUCACCAGUGUCUGGAGGAAGAUUUUCAGAAACGACAGAGGCGUGGCCCAGUGACAAGAUGAAGGCUGUGACUGAGCCGCCUGGAUGGUGACCUUCAUUCAAGGAGGCUCCCUGGAUGGUCCUGGGAGGGCUCCCCAACACCUCAGUGGCCCCUCCAAUGCUGCAAUGUGUUGCUGGGGUCCUGAACACCUGCUGGCCAACAGACCCCACACCCACCCUCCUUCAUCGUCAUCUGUGUGGGGACAGACAAGAGCCAUGGCCGCCGUGGGCCAUGGGGUGCCCUCAACCCUCUGCCUUCCUACCCAGCCUGAGACAGGAAGGCCGCCAGCUGGGAGCACCACGGGACUGAUCCAAGGAAGGCGUGGGGAGUGUGGUGACAGGAGAUGGGACGAGGGGGCAGAGCCAGCUGGAACAUGGAUGCCAGAGGCUGCCUCCAUAGUGCAUCUCCAGAAGUCACAGAGGCCCUGAGCGCCCAGAGCCACCUGAGCCACCUGGCCUGGAAGCCCCUGCGCAGGCCAGACCUGCAGGCCAUGGACCCCAGCAGGAACCGAAGCCUCACCCCAAGCCUUCGUACACAAGGAGCAGCCCAGGUGAGGGACGGCGGACGCACCUGUGGCUCUACUGGUGCAAGAAGGGAACCGUGGUCCAAGAAGCUGACAGCCCUGGCAUACACCCGUGUCACCUCAGGAUGGCCCAGACCCUGCAGGAAGCAGAUGCCCCAGCUGGAGCACAGUUCCUUUUCCCCCGGCCUCAUGGUGUCCACACACAACACUGUUCUCCAAACAACUCAGGUAGGUUCUUUUCUUACCCACCCUCCCUAG